UGUGAAGCAGCAGCAGAGGAGAGUCCAGAUGAAGAUCAGCAUCAUGUUUGUGAUGAGGAGGAUUUCUGUGUCUUCUGUUGUCAUGAAGGACAGCUGUCAGUCAUCCAGUGUGUACACGUUCGGUGGAGGAACCAGACUGGAAGUUAACUUGGGUGAAGUCCGUCCCUCCCUGACGGUGCUGCCCCCCUCCAGAGAGGAGCUGCAGCAGGGGAAGGCCACGUUCAUGUGUCUGGCCAACAAGGGCUUCCCCUCAGACUGGAGUCUGUCCUGGAAGGUGGACGGCAGCAGCAGCAUCAGCUGGGAGGAGAGCAGGAGCCCCGGGGUGCUGCAGGAGGAUGGCCUCUACAGCUGGAGCAGCACCCUGAGGCUCUCUGCAGACCAGUGGGGGAAGGUGGGCUCUGUGAGCUGUGAGGCCACCCAGGGCUCCCAGACUCUGCUCUCAGAGACACUGAGGAGAGACCAGUGUUCCCAGUCCUGACCUCCCUCACUGCAACAUCACACUGGUCUCACUCUGCUGC